UGCAUGCUUGGGUGGCACACAGAUAAAGUUCAAAUGACACAGAGAAGAUUAGCAUGGCCCCUGUACAUGGAUGAAACACACUCAUGGAGUAUAUUUAGCUUUGAU